CACUGACUACAGAUGUUGUUCAGCCCAGUCACCUGAUGAGGGUUCAGCUUGGAGACAGUGUGACCCUGACAUGCUUCUGUCAAGGAGAAACAACUUUUGUUACUUUGUUUAAGCAAGCUGUUGGUCGGAAGCCCCAGCCCAUGGCGAAAGCACUUCUCUACGUACCUGGUGAAUUUUACAAGGAAUAUAAAAGCAUAAAACGUUACUCCUUACUGAAUGCAGAGGGGAGUUUUAACCUCACUAUUUCUAACGUGGAGCCGUCAGAUUCUGCAGUGUAUUAUUGUGCUGCUGUGUUUCUUCAUGAGGUCACCUUCGGGAAUGGAACCUUUGUCAUAAUCACAGGUAAAGACUCCAACAGCAGGACUGUGGUACAGCAGCCUGUGUCUGACACAUUGCAGCCAGGAGACUCUGUGAGCCUGCAGUGUACGAUAGAGACUGGGAGCUGUGCAGGAGAACACAGUGUUUACUGGUUCAGACAUGGAUCAGGAGAAUCCCUUCCUGGAGUCAUUUACAGCCAUGGAAACAGCAGUGAUGAGUGUGAGAAGAGCCCUGAGGCUGGAUCUCCUACACGGAGCUGCGUCUACAGCCUCCCCAAGGGGAACCUCAGCCUCUCCGAUGCUGGGACUUACUACUGCGCUGUGGCCAUGUGUGGGGAGAUGCUGUUUGGGAACGGCACAUAGCUGGAUAUAGAUGGCUUUCAGAAGCUGCUGGAUCCUCUUCACUCUGGCUUGCUGAUAGUUUUAUCUUGCAGCAUUAUUCUGAACGUUGCUCUCAUUUGUAUAAGAUGUAAACUGACCUGUACACACUGUGCAGAUGAAAAGAACAGUGAUAUAUCAAAAGUGGAAUGGUCACGCAAGC